CGGCGGACGGGUGAGUAACACGUGGAUAACUUACCUAUAAGACUGGGAUAACUUCGGGAAACCGGAGCUAAUACCGGAUAAUAUAUUGAACCGCAUGGUUCAAUAGUGAAAGACGGUUUUGCUGUCACUUAUAGAUGGAUCCGCGCCGCACUAGCUAGUUGGUAAGGUAACGGCUUACCAAGGCAACGAUGCGUAGCCGACCUGAGAGGGUGAUCGGCCACACUGGAACUGAGACACGGUCCAGACUCCUACGGGAGGCAGCAGUC
rnacentral:rRNA from 1 species